rnacentral:rRNA from 1 species
UUUGUACCUGGCUCAGGACGAACGCUGGCGGCGUGCCUAAUACAUGCAAGUUGAGCGCUGAAGGUUGGUACUUGUACCGACUGGAUGAGCAGCGAACGGGUGAGUAACGCGUGGGGAAUCUGCCUUUGAGCGGGGGACAACAUUUGGAAACGAAUGCUAAUACCGCAUAAAAACUUUAAACACAAGUUUUAAGUUUGAAAGAUGCAAUUGCAUCACUCAAAGAUGAUCCCGCGUUGUAUUAGCUAGUUGGUGAGGUAAAGGCUCACCAAGGCGAUGAUACAUAGCCGACCUGAGAGGGUGAUCGGCCACAUUGGGACUGAGACACGGCCCAAACUCCUACGGGAGGCAGCAGUAGGGAAUCUUCGGCAAUGGACGAAAGUCUGACCGAGCAACGCCGCGUGAGUGAAGAAGGUUUUCGGAUCGUAAAACUCUGUUGGUAGAGAAGAACGUUGGUGAGAGUGGAAAGCUCAUCAAGUGACGGUAACUA